rnacentral:rRNA from 4 species
GAUUCCAUCCCGAACUCAGAAGUGAAACGAAACAGCGUCGAUGGUAGUGUGGGGUCUCCCCAUGUGAGAGUAGAACAUCGCCAGGC